CCGCCGGCGACCGGCGCACGGGUGAGUAACACGUAUGCAACCUGGCCGUGACAGAUGGAUAACCGGGAGAAAUCCCGCCUAAUACAACAUAAUGCCGGGAGGGGACAUCCCCUGCCGGCCAAAGGGGCGACCCCGGUCACGGAUGGGCAUGCGGCGCAUUAGGUAGUUGGUGGGCAACGGCCCACCAAGCCGACGAUGCGUAGGGGUUCUGAGAGGAAGGUCCCCCACAUUGGAACUGAGACACGGUCCAAACUCCUACGGGAGGCAGCAG
rnacentral:rRNA from 1 species